rnacentral:pre_miRNA from 1 species
AGUGAAAUUUCUAGGUUACAUGGUAAAUUCUAUGCUUAACUUUUUGAGUAACUUCCAAACUAUUUUCCAAAGUGAUUCUACCAUUCUACUUUCUCCCAGCAGU